rnacentral:rRNA from 1 species
GACGAACGUUGGCGGCGUGCUUAACACAUGCAAGUCGAACGGAAAGGCCCUGCUUUUGUGGGGUGCUCGAGUGGCGAACGGGUGAGUAACACGUGAGUAACCUGCCCUUGACUUUGGGAUAACUUCAGGAAACUGGGGCUAAUACCGGAUAGGAGCUCCUGCUGCAUGGUGGGGGUUGGAAAGUUUCGGCGGUUGGGGAUGGACUCGCGGCUUAUCAGCUUGUUGGUGGGGUAGUGGCUUACCAAGGCUUUGACGGGUAGCCGGCCUGAGAGGGUGACCGGCCACAUUGGGACUGAGAUACGGCCCAGACUCCUACGGGAGGCAGCAGUGGGGAAUAUUGCACAAUGGGCGGAAGCCUGAUGCAGCAACGCCGCGUGCGGGAUGACGGCCUUCGGGUUGUAAACCGCUUCCGCCUGUGACGAAGCGUGAGUGACGGUAAUGGGUAAAGAAGCACCGGCUAACUACGUG